rnacentral:tRNA from 1 species
GGAGGCGGUUGGGUUGCUGGUGCACCCCCCGGUCUUCAAAACCGCGUGAGGGGGCUGUAAAAGUUCCCUGGGAAGUUCGAUUCUUUCACGCCUCCGCCA